GUUUUACAAUAACACGCACACACGUUCACUCCAAGAGGGGAGACCCGCUCUCCCACCCUUCUUUCUAGUCCCUCAUGCACGCAGAUUCAAUUACAGGUUUUGGAAAACAAAUCGGCGGCUUUUUAAACUGCUGCGUUCCCCAGUGAAUUUGCAUUCUAGUUCCAAGCAGUUAUUUUUUUUGCAGAUUGUGCAAACGCUGCCCUUGCCUCAGUGUGUGUGUUCAGUUCUGAACACGUGGGUAUCCUGCAGUGAAUCGCUAAUUCAGGGGGGGGGGUAGACAAUUUUGGCUGCCGGUGUCCAUUCCAUUGCAAAACUUUGUUCCAACCCUGUCUGCAAUAAUAAUGAGCCCUCAGCUGCUGUGGACAGAAUGCAAAAUGCAGUGUCUUCAGUAAUUUACGUUUAAAUUGACGUUUUUUUGGGGGGGGAAAGAGUUUUCGGGAUACAGCGGUAGGUGGAGCAGGAAAGAAAGAGUGAAUGAAAGAAAGAAAAGGUUUUUUUAAUUACAAUUUGAAUUCGAAAGGAGGUGAGGAGAGGGGAAGUGAGAGACAGAAUGAUUAAUGAUGUAAUCUAAUUCUUACUGGCAAAGUCUGCAAAAUAAAGCUGCUCCCAACACCCUCUGCUGGACAUUUUUGGAACUGCAAGCCAACAUGCUGUCCUCAAGUCUCCUGACUCGGCGAGUGAACACUGAAGACAGGCUCUUCGAGCUGGGCUGCUUAGUGAACCCCAAACACUCUCCAGGUAACUGGGCUAACGCAGCAUGGUGAUGUGACCUGUCUUCAGCUGUCUACGUGGGGAGAGACAGGCAGCUAGCGAUGCGUUCUCCAAAUACACUACGAGUGGAGCGAGGAGAGUGACAGGAGGCGGGGAGCGGCGACGAACACAACAAAGCAUGUUGAGAAGCAACUGUCCGGCAGACAUCCAUCAACGACCCAGUCCCAAGAGACACGAAUGUGACAUGCAUUGAAUUAGCUGGCUCGCUGAUCACCAGUACAGCACUGAGUUCUCUAUACAAGACUGUAUUGAAUUUGCUGGCUCUCAGAUCCCCAGUACAGCAAUGAGUUCUCUAUACAAGACUGUAUUGAAUUAGCUGGCUCUCAGAUCCCCAGUACAGCAAUGAGUUCUCUAUACUAGACUGUAUUGAAUUAGCUGGCUCUCAGAUCCACAGUUCUCUAUACUAGACUAUAUAAAGGUCUGGCUCAGGUUCCAGUGGGUAGAGCAGGUCAGGGGGAUGUUACUGAGAGGGAUUUGAGCCCACUCAUACCUCAUUUAUCCAUUCCCAGACUGACAGCGGGCUCAGAGCUUCAGGAUUGAUGAAUGAAAUGUUAAUUUCAAAUUGUUUUUCUUCACAAACAGAUUGAGCAGCAGAGGGUGAUUAAUAAAGCCUUGGCACUCAAUAAAAACACUCCUAAUUGCU